ACAGGUCUCAGGUCAGAACAAGGUAGUCGCAGGCAAGCAUUAGGAGGUGGAGGGUGGCUCUGGUUCUGCGUUCUAGAUUGUAAAUAGAAUCCCUUUGUAAAUAAAACCCCUUCCCACCUUAAAUUGUGCCUCAGUGGAUUAUUCUCACUCUGGGAAUACAACACUUCCUGAUUUGACUGGUGG